GGCGCCGGCGAUAGCGAGUUGAAUCCAUCAGUUCCAGAUGGAUCACUGAAGUUAAACAACGUUGGGUUUGGUUACUAUCCGAAUGGGUGACUGGCCAGACAAUCGCGUGUUGCUUUCC
rnacentral:rRNA from 1 species